rnacentral:rRNA from 1 species
GAUGAACGCUGGCGGCGUGCUUAACACAUGCAAGUCGAACGGAAAGGCUCCUGCUUGCAGGGGUACUCGAGUGGCGAACGGGUGAGUAACACGUGGGUGAUCUGCCCUGCACUUCGGGAUAAGCCUGGGAAACUGGGUCUAAUACCGGAUAGGACCACAUUUUGGAUGGUGUGGUGGAAAGUUUUUCGGUGUGGGAUGAGCUCGCGGCCUAUCAGCUUGUUGGUGGGGUAAUGGCCUACCAAGGCGUCGACGGGUAGCCGGCCUGAGAGGGUGUACGGCCACAUUGGGACUGAGAUACGGCCCAGACUCCUACGGGAGGCAGCGGUGGGGAAGAUUGCACAAUGGGCGCAAGCCUGAUGCAGCGACGCCGCGUGGGGGAUGACGGCCUUCGGGUUGUAAACUCCUUUCGCUAGGGACGAAGCGCAAGUGACGGUACCUGGAGAAGAAGCACCGGCUAACUACGUG